rnacentral:tRNA from 1 species
GCGAUCGUAGCUCAGUUGGUUAGAGCACCGGAUUGUGAUUCCGGGGGUCGUGGGUUCGAGCCCCAUCGAUCGCC